UCAGAUGUGAUUUGUGACCUAAACUGGCCAUAUCCUGGUCUAGAUGUUAAACCUCUUUAUCCUGGUCUAGAUUAUACCUGGCUAGAUGUUAAACCUCUUUAUCCUGGUCUAGAUUAUACCUGGCUAGAUGUUAAACCUCUUUAUCCUGGUCUAGAUUAUACCUGGCUAGAUGUUAAACCUCUUUAUCCUGGUCUAGAUUAUACCUGGCUAGAUGUUAAACCUCUUUAUCCUGGUCUAGAUUAUACCUGGCUAGAUGUUAAACCUCUUUAUCCUGGUCUAGAUUAUACCUGGCUAGAUGUUAAACCUCUUUAUCCUGGUCUAGAUUAUACCUGGCUAGAUGUUAAACCUCUUUAUCCUGGUCUAGAUUAUACCUGGCUAGAUGUUAAACCUCUUUAUCCUGGUCUAGAUUAUACCUGGCUAGAUGUUAAACCUCUUUAUCCUGGUCUAGAUUAUACCUGGCUAGAUGUUAAACCUCUUUAUCCUGGUCUAGAUUAUACCUGGCUAGAUAUUAAACCUCUUUAUCCUGGUCUAGAUUAUACCUGGCUAGAUGUUAAACCUCUUUAUCCUGGUCUAGAUUAUACCUGGCUAGAUAUUAAACCUCUUUAUCCUGGUCUAGAUUAUACCUGGCUAGAUGUUAAACCUCUUUAUCCUGGUCUUGAUUAUACCUGGCUAGAUGUUAAACCUCUUUAUCCUGGUCUAGAUUAUACCUGGCUAGAUGUUAACCCUCUUUAUCCUGGUCUAGAUUAUACCUGGCUAGAUGUUAAACCUCUUUAUCCUGGUCUAGAUUAUACCUGGCUAGAUAUUAAACCUCUUUAUCCUGGUCUAGAUUAUACCUGGCUAGAUGUUAAACCUCUUUAUCCUGGUCUUGAUUAUACCUGGCUAGAUGUUAAACCUCUUUAUCCUGGUCUAGAUUAUACCUGGCUAGAUGUUAACCCUCUUUAUCCUGGUCUAGAUUAUACCUGGCUAGAUGUUAAACCUCUUUAUCCUGGUCUAGAUUAUACCUGGCUAGAUGUUAAACCUCUUUAUCCUGGUCUAGAUUAUACCUGGCUAGAUGUUAAACCUAUUUAUCCUGGUCUAGAUUAUAGCUGGCUAGAUGUUAAACCUCUUUAUCCUGGUCUAGAUUAUACCUGGCUAGAUGUUACACCUCUUUAUCCUGGUCUAGUGGCACACAAUAUGGACAACUGA
rnacentral:lncRNA from 8 species